rnacentral:rRNA from 1 species
GAGCGGACAGAUGGGAGCUUGCUCCCUGAUGUUAGCGGCGGACGGGUGAGUAACACGUGGGUAACCUGCCUGUAAGACUGGGAUAACUCCGGGAAACCGGGGCUAAUACCGGAUGGUUGUUUGAACCGCAUGGUUCAAACAUAAAAGGUGGCUUCGGCUACCACUUACAGAUGGACCCGCGGCGCAUUAGCUAGUUGGUGAGGUAACGGCUCACCAAGGCGACGAUGCGUAGCCGACCUGAGAGGGUGAUCGGCCACACUGGGACUGAGACACGGCCCAGACUCCUACGGGAGGCAGCAGUAGGGAAUCUUCCGCAAUGGACGAAAGUCUGACGGAGCAACGCCGCGUGAGUGAUGAAGGUUUUCGGAUCGUAAAGCUCUGUUGUUAGGGAAGAACAAGUACCGUUCGAAUAGGGCGGUACCUUGACGGUACCUAACCAGAAAGCCACGGCUAACUACGUGCCAGCAGCCGCGGUAAUACGUAGGUGGCAAGCGUUGUCCGGAAUUAUUGGGCGUAAAGGGCUCGCAGGCGGUUUCUUAAGUCUGAUGUGAAAGCCCCCGGCUCAACCGGGGAGGGUCAUUGGAAACUGGGGAACUUGAGUGCAGAAGAGGAGAGUGGAAUUCCACGUGUAGCGGUGAAAUGCGUAGAGAUGUGGAGGAACACCAGUGGCGAAGGCGACUCUCUGGUCUGUAACUGACGCUGAGGAGCGAAAGCGUGGGGAGCGAACAGGAUUAGAUACCCUGGUAGUCCACGCCGUAAACGAUGAGUGCUAAGUGUUAG